UGAAAAACAAAUGAGACAUUAAGAACAUUAAACGAGUAGUAUGUGGUAAGGUCACAUCUGCUGAUUCCAGCUCUAACUUUGCCUUUUAACACCUGUUGAUAUGUUACCACAUUCCUGACAGGAAGCGCAGUAUGUAAGACGGUAGAUUUCAAGUAAGUGCUAACUGUGAACUACCAUCAAUCAAUGAAGAGGAAAGCUGCCGUGGUUGCUUCUGACCCCACACACCUCAGCAGCCUCGUCACUAAACUGUCAUCUCAAAGUCAGCACAGGUUAAUUGCCACCUGGACUACAUGAAACUUAUCCACCUUCAUCUGUCGCACAUGCCCCCCCCAACACAUUUACAUCUCUGCCAGUAUUUGCACAUUAUCUAUUUUGUGUGUCAGUUAUGUGCUGCUUCUUGGUCUUGCAUUGCUUAGCUCAUUGCUUUUUGACACACUGUCUUAUAAAUUCUUAUCAUUGUAAGUAGAAUGUGUUCCGCUUAUCGUCCUGUAUUACAUGUUUUGUGCUGGAGCAAAGGAGUUCCUGUAAUUUCUGCAGCACUCCUGUUCAAAGUAACUUUUUUAUGGAAACUGAUAACAUUCCUGAUAUCACUGAGGAUACAUUUUUCAAAAACAAAUAAUGAUUUCACUUAUGCCAUGGGUCAGAAAUUGGCCUAGACAGCCUACAUUUGCAUAAAUGAGUCUUUAAAAUAUGCUCAGCUCAGCGGGUUAAUACUGGCAUAUGUUUUAGAUUAUUGGGUAAUGCUACCUCAAUCCAUGCUGAUAUCUAAGUGCAGAGCCCACUGACCUGCGGUCUUGUAAUACACAGGCUCCUCUGCUGCACAUUAAAAACACAGUGCAGCAGCAUUGGAAACUGUCCUCCUAAGCCAAGUCUGCUGAAAGACCAAUCCAAGGCACACACCUCUAGGCAGCUGUACAGAAGAUGAUGGAUGAAGCAUGUAAACAUUCAGUCCAGUGACUCGGUCAGGGAGUCAUGGAUUAUCCCCACAGUCUUGUUUAUGGGAAGCACUGGCUGGUGUUCAGUUUCUCAUUUCCCUACAGGGCCUGUCUCUCAGUGGACAGCUGCUGCUGAGCUCAAGGGCUGCCCCAAAACGACACAAUUACAGAUACAAAUGGAGCUCUGUGCCACAUUAAUGGAAGCCCAACUGUUUGCCCUGCUGCACAGAGAUCACACUAGUCAUCAUCACAUCUUUCUCUGAACUGAAUCAAAUACUGUUCUGUGCUGGCAAAAAUUUGAAUCAUGUGCAGAGUGCAUGAAAUAUAGUAACUGAUUUUGGAUUUAAAUUAGCAUGCUAACAUUAUCUUCUCUUCCAAUUUUCCCAUGAGAAGUUGGAUUUUUCAACAUUGAAGGUCCUGCAUCACACAGUAUUUCUCACCAACAUCUUGGGUGGGUAUUAUAAGCUUUAAAAUAACCAUGUUUAUCUACUUCAAAAUAGUCCAUGUUGAAUAAAAGUGUUAUCGUUCUACAAUGUGACCCAUGCAUUCAAGAGAGCUACUGGCGCCAAAAAGUAGCUUGGUCUCGACUGCAACGCUAUUAGACAUCUAAUGUAUCUACCUAAGGCAAAAACCAGCAAAAAUAAGAGCUUGUAUUUAAACUAGUGGUUCUGUAAGGCUAAAAUGCUCCUUACAUGCCAACAGCAGAGUUGAAUUAAAGGAAAACUGAAGAGACAACUUUGCUAGUCUUCAACAUCACCAGGAAGGUAAAAAUGCAGCCUAUUAUUUGGCCAUAUUAUUGCACUAAAGCCCGAUGAUGUGAAUCUGAUCCACUCCCAAAUGUGCCGAAAUCUAUGUCAUAUGGGUGAAUGCUGCAGCAGCAUGAGAGAGACAUGUGCAUGCUUGCACACACAAAAAAGUGAAAUCCACAUACAGGCAGGGUGUGAAAUAUGGGAGGUUUCAGACAAACUGUGCAGAAUAAUACACCCAUUCAAUGUCGUAUAUGAA